GACUCACAGCAUAGAGAUGAGGGAACCCCACAGCUCUGCACCUGAGAUGCUCUACCUGCCAGCUUUGGCCAUAGCUGUGGUAUAAGGCAACUUCACUUCUAUUCUACAAACAAGAGUAACACGUAGAGAUUCCAGGCCACUGCUUCCUCACAGUGCAUGUUUAUUUAAGCCCUAGCCCAAACAGGGCAGAAUUGCACCACCCAGGCUGGCAGCUGCCUCUCACACAGCAAUCUGCACCAGAGCGCGCUAACAGCUGCUUCCAUGGAACAGUCACCACCGCACAGAACUUUGCUGAAGUGACCAACAAGUCACGAUCUGCAGCUCUCCCCAAGAUGCUUCUCCCACAGGUGAUGCAGUGCUUCCAUAGCAGCCACCCACAGCUCGGAUGCUCUCCUUCAGUAAAAGGAAAUGCUUUGCUCAAAAGGCCAAAGCCACAGACAGCUGAGAAAGCGCUCCAAGGAAGUACAGCCACGUUCCUGCAGGGCAGGAACACAGCACUGGGCUACAUGAGCCUUCCAUGUGCCUCGUGCUGCCAUUCUCACGCCUAGUAAUUAAAUAAGUCAUGAUCAUAAA